AACACAAUAAGCACUCCGCCUGGGGAGUACGGUCGCAAGACUGAAACUCAAAGGAAUUGACGGGGACCCGCACAAGCAGCGGAGCAUGUGGUUUAAUUCGAAGCAACGCGAAGAACCUUACCAAGGUUUGACAUCCCCUUGACAGAUGCAGAGAUGUGUCCUCCCCUUCGGGGGCAAGGGAGACAGGUGGUGCAUGGUUGUCGUCAGCUCGUGUCGUGAGAUGUUGGGUUAAGUCCCGCAACGAGCGCAACCCUUAUCCUUAGUUGCCAGCAGGUCAAGCUGGGCACUCUAAGGAGACUGCCGAUGAUAAAUCGGAGGAAGGUGGGGAUGACGUCAAAUCAUCAUGCCCCUUAUAUCUUGGGCUACACACGUGCUACAAUGGUCGGUACAAAGGGCAGCGAAGGAGUGAUCUGGAGCAAAUCCCAAUAAACCGAUCCCA
rnacentral:rRNA from 1 species